UCGAGCGAACAGAAGGGAGCUUGCUCCCGGAUGUUAGCGGCGGACGGGUGAGUAACACGUGGGUAACCUGCCUGUAAGACUGGGAUAACUCCGGGAAACCGGAGCUAAUACCGGAUAGUUCCUUGAACCGCAUGGUUCAAGGAUGAAAGACGGUUUCGGCUGUCACUUACAGAUGGACCCGCGGCGCAUUAGCUAGUUGGUGGGGUAAUGGCUCACCAAGGCGACGAUGCGUAGCCGACCUGAGAGGGUGAUCGGCCACACUGGGACUGAGACACGGCCCAGACUCCUACGGGAGGCAGCAGUAGGGAAUCUUCCGCAAUGGACGAAAGUCUGACGGAGCAACGCCGCGUGAGUGAUGAAGGUUUUCGGAUCGUAAAGCUCUGUUGUUAGGGAAGAACAAGUGCGAGAGUAACUGCUCGCACCUUGACGGUACCUAACCAGAAAGCCACGGCUAACUACGUGCCAGCAGCCGCGGUAAUACGUAGGUGGCAAGCGUUGUCCGGAAUUAUUGGGCGUAAAGGGCUCGCAGGCGGUUUCUUAAGUCUGAUGUGAAAGCCCCCGGCUCAACCGGGGAGGGUCAUUGGAAACUGGGAAACUUGAGUGCAGAAGAGGAGAGUGGAAUUCCACGUGUAGCGGUGAAAUGCGUAUAGAUGUGGAGGAACACCAGUGG
rnacentral:rRNA from 1 species